GCCACUAUUAUUUUGUACAAAAGAUUCUAAGUAGUUAAAACUUUCCAUCUCGCGUAUUACACCAUUACGUAGUAAGGUUAGCUGUCUUUUAUGUUCCUUCGAACUCAUGCUAUGUUUUAUUUAUACUUGUUCUUAGUCUCUUUCAUUCAAGUGCUACUCUCCAUUCCUCAAGCCUAUUGUUAACUUAUUUGAGAUUUUCUCAUAUU